rnacentral:rRNA from 1 species
CGCUGGCGGCGUGCCUAACACAUGCAAGUCGAACGGACUGAUUCCUUCGGGAAUGAAAGUUAGUGGCGGACGGGUGAGUAACGCGUGAGCAACCUGCCUUUCAGAGGGGAAUAACGUUUGGAAACAGACGCUAAUACCGCAUAACGCAUAGGUGUCGCAUGGCAUUUAUGCCAAAGGAGCAAUCCGCUGAAAGAUGGGCUCGCGUCCGAUUAGAUAGUUGGUGGGGUAACGGCCUACCAAGUCGACGAUCGGUAGCCGGACUGAGAGGUUGAACGGCCACAUUGGGACUGAGACACGGCCCAGACUCCUACGGGAGGCAGCAGUGGGGGAUAUUGCACAAUGGGCGAAAGCCUGAUGCAGCAACGCCGCGUGAGGGAUGACGGUUUUCGGAUUGUAAACCUCUGUCUUUGGUGACGAACAAAUGACGGUAGCCGAGGAGGAAGCCACGGCUAACUACGUGCCAGCCGCUGC